AUUGAACGCUGGCGGCAGGCCUAACACAUGCAAGUCGAACGAGUGGCGGACGGGGGAGUAAUGUCUGGGAAACUGCCCGAUGGAGGGGGAUAACUACUGGAAACGGUAGCUAAUACCGCAUACCAUCGGAUGUGCCCAGAUGGGCUUAGCUUGGAGGUGGGGUAAAGGCGCACCUAGGCGACGAUCCCUAGCUGGUCUGAGAGGAUGACCAGCCACACUGGAACUGAGACACGGUCCAGACUCCUACGCGAGGCAGCAGUGGGGAAUAUUGCACAAUGGGCGCAAGCCUGAUGCAGCCAUGCCGCGUGUAUGAUGAAGGCCUUCGGGUUGUAAAGUACUUUCAGCGGGGAGGCGUUACCCGCAGAAGAAGCACCGGCUAAAUCCGGGCCCGCAGCCGCGGUAAUAC
rnacentral:rRNA from 1 species